AUGAUAACCAAGAUGGUAAAUUAACAUUGGAUGAAAUACUCAAUCAUGAAAGUAUUUUCUACAGUACCAUCUAUGACAAUGGUAGAAAUGAAGAUCUUUCCCACGACGAACUUUAAAUUGUGCGAGUGCAACUUCAGUGUUGUGGCUGAGGUGAGGAGAUCAAUUUAAUUCACAGAGGCAAUUUAUUUCAACUCGAUCAAAUCAAUGAGUGAGUAAGCUGAUCAUAGUUCAAAAAGCACUCAAAGGAAGUUAGUAGCGCUGCCGUUCGUUGAUUAUAAUUUUUUUUUGUUACUACUACUUUACCCAUUAGCAGUAGCUAAUAGUGAUAUAUUGAGGCUUGUACAUGCUAUUUUUUUGUGUGUGUGUGUAUGUAAUACAUUUUACAUGUACCUCGAUGAAUUAUAAGAAUACAUGAGUUAGAAUCUUCUCUACCUCA